UUAGUUGGUGGAGUGAUUUGUCUGGUUAAUUCCGUUAACGAACGAGACCGUCGCCUGCUAAAUAGUUACGCGAAUGGCUUCGGCCAUUCGCGGGCAACUUCUUAGAGGGACUUUUGGUGUUUAACCAAAGGAAGUUGGCGGCAAUAACAGGU
rnacentral:rRNA from 1 species